GCAAUAUAUGCAAAUGAUGAAUGCGUUAAACCUGACAACCCAACACCUUCAACAAAUUACACAGGUCAGAGGAGCUCUAGGAGAAGUUUCUAUUUGGGUGUUAUUUUCUCCCUGAGCCUGCUCACUGUUUUAUUGCUGGUUGGACUUAUCACACUUAGUUUCUUCUACCACAAUUCAGCUGAACAUGUGUCGGCACAGGCUGAGGAGCGAGACCUUCUGAAUAAAAACAUCUCUGUGGUCAGUAACCAACUUUC